CAAAGUUUCCAACGUGCCGAAUCAUAAUAGUUGUAGCCGUAGUUGCUUUUAUUCUGUCCGCUAUGCUAGGAGGGAUGCUUGGUGACGAGCUGGAACCUGUACCUGUGGCGAUCCAAGGGUUGCGGAACUUUAAAAGACCUAUAAUUCUUCCUUUUCGAGGUUCCAUAAAGAUAAGUCACCUAGGCAGUACCAACGGACGAAAGCCGUCGAAGGCCUCUGCUCUAAGUAUCUUGUCAUAGCACUAGGUGCUGCGGUGGUGGCUGAACCUGGUAGAAGUGGAGAUGAAGACUACAGUUGGGGAGCGUUGCGACAAAAUUCUCGCCGCAGCUGUGCUCCCCCAGCGGGAGAAAUGAUAAAUAAA